rnacentral:rRNA from 1 species
UACAGAGGUCUCAAGCGUUGUUCGGAUUCAUUGGGCGUAAAGGGUGCGCAGGUGGCCGCGCAAGUUCGAUGUGAAAGCCCCGGGCUUAACCCGGGAAUGGCAUUGAAAACUGCGUGGCUGGAGGAUCGGAGGGGGGACUGGAAUUCUUGGUGUAGCAGUGAAAUGCGUAGAUAUCAAGAGGAACACCAGUGGCGAAGGCGAGUCCCUGGACGAUACCUGACACUGAGGCACGAAAGCCAAGGGAGCAAACAGG